ACGUAGGGUGCGAGCGUUAAUCGGAAUUACUGGGCGUAAAGCGUGCGCAGGCGGUUUUGUAAGACAGAUGUGAAAUCCCCGGGCUUAACCUGGGAACUGCGUUUGUGACUGCAAGGCUAGAGUACGGCAGAGGGGGGUGGAAUUCCUGGUGUAGCAGUGAAAUGCGUAGAUAUCAGGAGGAACACCGAUGGCGAAGGCAGCCCCCUGGGCCUGUACUGACGCUCAUGCACGAAAGCGUGGGGAGCAAACAGGAUUAGAUACCCUGGUAGUCCACGCCCUAAACGAUGUCGACUAGUCGUUCGGAGCAGCAAUGCACUGAGUGACGCAGCUAACGCGUGAAGUCGACCGCCUGGGGAGUACGGCCGCAAGGUUA
rnacentral:rRNA from 1 species